AUGGUGAAAUUCAAAGAUAAGAACAUUCAUGUUCAUUUCAAAUAUGAGCGAUUACCCACCUUCUGUUAUGUUUGCGGGAGAAUAGGGCACCAGAUGAAGGUUUGUGAUACAUUGGAGGAUCUUAAUGAAGAAGGCUUUAAAGAUCUUGAUAAGCUAGAACUUUUGUUCAUUCAUCAUUCUUGGAUUGUGGAACUAGGAUUUUGGAUCACAAGCAGCAUGAGCACCUUCCUUGGAAAAAUUCCUCAAGAUACAAAGUUAUCUUCAUCAAGAUUCUUCAAAGAGCAAUAA